CUACCCUGGGGAUAACAGGCUUAUCUCCCCCAAGAGUCCACAUCGACGGGGAGGUUUGGCACCUCGAUGUCGGCUCAUCACAUCCUGGGGCUGUAGUAGGGCCCAAGGGUUGGGCUGUUCGCCCAUUAAAGUGGUACGCGAGCUGGGUUCAGAACGUCGUGAGACAGUUCGGUCCCUAUCCGUCGCAGGCGUAGGAAAUUU
rnacentral:rRNA from 1 species